rnacentral:rRNA from 1 species
UACGGAGGGUGCAAGCGUUAAUCGGAAUUACUGGGCGUAAAGCGCACGUAGGUGGUUUGUUAAGCUAGCUGUGAAAUCCCCGGGCUCAACCUGGGCACUGCAGUUAGAACUGGCAAGCUAGAGUAGGGUAGAGGGGUGUGGAAUUCCAGGUGUAGCGGUGAAAUGCGUAGAUAUCUGGAGGAACAUCAGUGGCGAAGGCGGCUCUCUGGAACGGUACUGACGCUGAGACGCGAAAGCGUGGGGAGCGAACAGG